rnacentral:rRNA from 1 species
AAAUUGAAGAGUUUGAUCAUGGCUCAGAUUGAACGCUGGCGGCAGGCCUAACACAUGCAAGUCGAACGGUAACAGGAAGCAGCUUGCUGCUUUGCUGACGAGUGGCGGACGGGUGAGUAAUGUCUGGGAAACUGCCUGGUGGAGGGGGAUAACUACUGGAAACGGUAGCUAAUACCGCAUAACGUCGCAAGACCAAAGAGGGGGACCUUCGGGCCUCUUGCCAUCGGAUGUGCCCAGAUGGGAUUAGCUAGUAGGUGGGGUAACGGCUCACCUAGGC